AGUUUGAUCCUGGCUCAGGAUGAACGCUGCGGCGUGCUUAACACAUGCAAGUCGAACGAAGCACUACCGACGGAACUUUUCGGAGGGAAGAUGGUAAUGACUGAGUGGCGGACGGGUGAGUAACGCGUGGGCGAACCUGCCCCAUAGAGGGGGACAACAGCUGGAAACGGCUGCUAAUACCGCAUAACAAGGAGAGAGCGCAUGUUCUUUUCUUCAAAGAUUUAUCGCUAUGGGAUGGACCCGCGUCUGAUUAGCUGGUUGGUGAGGUAACGGCUCACCAAGGCGACGAUCAGUAGCCGGCUUGAGAGAGUGGACGGCCACAUUGGGACUGAGACACGGCCCAGACUCCUACGGGAGGCAGCAGUGGGGAAUAUUGCACAAUGGAGGAAACUCUGACGCAGUGACGCCGCGUGCAGGAAGAAGGUUUUCGGAUUGUAAACUGCUUUAGACAGGGAAGAAAAAAGACAGUACCUGUAGAAUAAGCUCCGGCUAACUACGUG
rnacentral:rRNA from 1 species